ACACGAGGAGAGGCCCAUUUAGAACUCAAUGCUUUCAGGAGAAAACAUGAUUGUGCUUUGGUGAUUUCGGGAGACUCAUUAGAAGUUUGUUUAAAGUUCUACGAGUAUGAAUUCAUGGAGCUGGCUUGUCAGUGUCCAGCUGUCAUCUGCUGCAGAGUGGCUCCCACACAGAAGGCCCAGAUUGUUAGGUUGCUGCAGGAGCGUACUGGCAAACUUACCUGUGCUGUUGGGGAUGGUGGAAAUGAUGUCAGCAUGAUCCAAGAACAGACU